UACGUAGGCAGCGAGCGUUGUUCGGAAUUAUUGGGCGUAAAGAGUGUGUAGGCGGUGCUCCAAGUCUGUCGUGAAAUCUCCCGGCUUAACCGGGAGGGUGCGGCGGAAACUGGAGUGCUAGAGGGUGGGAGAGGAAAGCGGAAUUCCCGGUGUAGCGGUGAAAUGCGCAGAUAUCAGGAGGAACACCGAUGGCGAAGGCAGGUCUCUGGGCAUUAACUGACGCUGAGGAGCGAAAGCAUGGGGAGCGAACAGG
rnacentral:rRNA from 1 species